rnacentral:rRNA from 1 species
CGUCUAACAGCUAUCGUCUACUAUGCAGUCGAGCGGUAGCACAGAGGAGUCUUGCUCCUGGGUGACGAGCGGCGGACUUGCGUGAAUAAUGUCUGGGAAACUGCCUGAUGGAGGGGGAUAACUACUGGAAACGGUAGCUAAUACCGCAUAACGUCGCAAGACCAAAGAGGGGGACCUUCGGGCCUCUUGCCAUCAGAUGUGCCCAGAUGGGAUUAGCUAGUAGGUGGGGUAACGGCUCACCUAGGCGACGAUCCCUAGCUGGUCUGAGAGGAUGACCAGCCACACUGGAACUGAGACACGGUCCAGACUCCUACGGGAGGCAGCAGUGGGGAAUAUUGCACAAUGGGCGCAAGCCUGAUGCAGCCAUGCCGCGUGUAUGAAGAAGGCCUUCGGGUUGUAAAGUACUUUCGGCGGGGAGGAAGGUGUUGAGGUUAAUAACCUCAGCAAUUGACGUUACCCGCAGAAGAAGCACCGGCUAACUCCGUGCCAGCAGCCGCGGUAAUACGGAGGGUGCAAGCGUUAAUCGGAAUUACUGGGCGUAAAGCGCACGCAGGCGGUCUGUCAAGUCGGAUGUGAAAUCCCCGGGCUCAACCUGGGAACUGCAUUCGAAACUGGCAGGCUAGAGUCUUGUAGAGGGGGGUAGAAUUCCAGGUGUAGCGGUGAAAUGCGUAGAGAUCUGGAGGAAUACCGGUGGCGAAGGCGGCCCCCUGGACAAAGACUGACUCUCAAGUGCGAAAGCCUGGUGAUGAAACAGGGAUUAGAUACCCUGGGAGGCCACGCCCCAAAAGAUAUCCACAUUGAAGGUUGCGCCUGAGAGGCGGCUUCCCGAGAUAACACGCUUAUACCGCCCGCCUCGGGAGGACUCCCGCGGGUGUAUUACAGCUAAUUAAUUAUCGGAGGGGGCCCACACACGGGGGGGGAAAUUGUGUGUUUUUUUUCGAUGCGAGGAGAAGUACCUUCUCUUAUCGUCGACGUGAGGAUUAUUUAACAGGAGAGGGGGCUGCCGCCGACGGAAAAUUAAGAAGG